GACCCCGCACAAGCGGCGGAGCAUGCGGCUUAAUUCGAUGAUACCCGUAGAACCUUACCUGGACUUGACAUAUAGGGUCAAGCUAUAGAGAUAUAGUGUGCAUUAGCGCCCUAUACAGGUGGUGCAUGGCUGUCGUCAGCUCGUGUCGUGAGAUGUUGGUUAAGUCCCGCAACGAGCGCAACCCCUGUCCUAUGUUGCCAGCAUUUAGUUGGGGACUCAUAGGAGACUGCCGGUGAUAAGCUGGAGGAAGGCGGGGAUGACGUCAAGUCCUCAUGGCCCUUACGGUCUGGGCUACACACGUGCUACAAUGGUGGUGACAGUGGGCAGCGAUACUGCAAAGUAAAGCU
rnacentral:rRNA from 1 species